UACGUAGGGUGCAAGCGUUAAUCGGAAUUACUGGGCGUAAAGCGUGCGCAGGCGGUUAUGUAAGACAGUUGUGAAAUCCCCGGGCUCAACCCUGGGAACUGCCUUUGUGACUGCAUAGCUAGAGUACGGUAGAGGGGGAUGGAAUUCCGCGGUGUAGCAGUGAAAUGCGUAGAUAUGCGGAGGAACACCGAUGGCGAAGGCAAUCCCCUGGACCUGUACUGACGCUCAUGCACGAAAGCGUGGGGAGCAAACAGG
rnacentral:rRNA from 1 species